UGGAACAUGAUCGUAAGGGC
rnacentral:miRNA from 1 species